rnacentral:rRNA from 1 species
CAGUAGCCGCGGUAAUACGUAGGUCCCGAGCGUUGUCCGGAUUUAUUGGGCGUAAAGCGAGCGCAGGCGGUUAGAUAAGUCUGAAGUUAAAGGCUGUGGCUUAACCAUAGUACGCUUUGGAAACUGUUUAACUUGAGUGCAAGAGGGGAGAGUGGAAUUCCAUGUGUAGCGGUGAAAUGCGUAGAUAUAUGGAGGAACACCGGUGGCGAAAGCGGCUCUCUGGCUUGUAACUGACGCUGAGGCUCGAAAGCGUGGGGAGCAAACGGGAUUAGAUACCCCUGUAGUCCCUGUCUCUUAUACA